CUCGAUAGCGCGGAGGUUAACACAAGUGCUUCAUGAGUACUCAGCCUGAGUUCAAAUCUCAGUGGUGACA